rnacentral:rRNA from 1 species
GGGCAAGGACUGCACUCCGUAACCAUUGUGAACGUUACCUUACACCGUUGCUUCGGCGGGCGGCACCGGGCUCACCCCCGGCGCCCCCCGGCCCCCUACAGGGCGCCCGCCGGAGGCUCUAACUCUUGAAUUUAUGGCCUCUCUGAGUCUUCUGUACUGAAUAAGUCAAAACUUUCAACAACGGAUCUCUUGGUUCUGGCAUCGAUGAAGAACGCAGCGAAAUGCGAUAAGUAAUGUGAAUUGCAGAAUUCAGUGAAUCAUCGAAUCUUUGAACGCACAUUGCGCCCGCCAGUAUUCUGGCGGGCAUGCCUGUUCGAGCGUCAUUUCAACCAUCAAGCCCCCGGCUUGUGUUGGGGACCUGCGGCUGCCGCAGGCCCUGAAAACCAGUGGCGGGCUCGCUAGUCACUCCGAGCGUAGUAGUAUUAUCUCGCUCAGGGCGUGCUGCGGGUUCCGGCCGUUAAAAAGCCUUUUUUACCCAAGGUUGACCUCGGAUCAGGUAGGAAGACCCGCUGAACUUAAGCAUAUCAAA